rnacentral:misc_RNA from 1 species
AUGGGACUGACUGUAUGGAGAAACUGUGAUAUGAAGCAGAAGCCGCAUUCGAUCCCGACAAAAAGAGUGAUAUGGCAGGCUCCGGGGAAGACUGGUUGGAAACGUGUCACUUAUGAGAAUAAGUUCCCGGUCGUGCAAACAUUAAAUUCUGUCGAGAUUGAAAGCAACUUCAAACACAUCAGUAAAGGCACAAAGGUCAUGUUGGGAAAUUUUCCAAUGACUCCCAAAGACGAUGUGAUUGGCAACAUGGGAAUGGUUGUAUGUCGAUAUUUGGCUUUAAAUCAGUACCAUCAGACCAUAUAUCAUUUUCACUUUCGUGCGGCAAUCAAUUUCGACAGUGCCGGAUCCAAGGAAGCGCAAAUCCUGUCCAAGCUGAACAUGAACCGCUCACAUAACGCGAUGCGUGUCAUGAGAUACGGCCAGUACCUAAACUUGCAAUACAUAUUAACACAGGAGCUGAGCUCGGACUUGGGAUUCAUCGUACAAAAUACGACACUUGACCUCUUCUCGUCUGUGCAUCUUAUCCAGCAAACAUUCUACUGCAUCAGCGAUCUCCACAAGAUUGGCUACACCCAUCUCGACAUCCGCCCCUCCUCGUUCUCUCUUCUCAGAAACAACAAAGCAGUCGUCGUGCUCAAUAGUUUCUUCAACUCCGAAACGCGUCAAAACAUCAGUCGUAACAUUCGUACAACGAAGCACAAUGGGCUGCAGCCUCUUUACGUUCAACAGGCCCGACAUGCCCGUAACAAAUCGGAGCGAGAGCCACUGCCGAAGAACGUCAUCAACACGUACAUGUCGAGGCGUCAACAUUUCCGAUUGGCACGAGGACCUGCCGACGACUACGAGUCGUGGUUUUACAUUUGUGCACGGUUUAUCACUCUGGUGAGGAUUUUGAGGGAGUGGCCAUGUUUUGUGAAUUUUGAAUUUUUUUCGGCACUAGUGCGAGGCAGACACGUAUGCAGGAAUGUAGCUUACUAUUAGGCUUAGGCUUUGGCUUGGGAUUGUCUCUGGUCUAUAUUACGCAAAUCCUGUCCAAGCUGAACAAAAACCGCUCACAUAACGCGAUGCGUGUCAUGAAAUACGGCCAGUACCUAAACUUGCAAUACAUAUUGACACAGGAGCUGUCCUCGGAUUUGGGAUUCAUCGUACAAAAUACUAAACUUGAUCUCUACUCGGCCGUGCAUCUUAUCCAGCAAACAUUCUACUGCAUCAGUGAUCUCCACAAGAUUGGCUACACCCAUCUCGACAUACGUCCCUCCUCGUUCUCUCUUCUCAGAAACAACAAAGCAGUCGUGGUGCUCAAUAACUUCUUCAACUCCGAAACGCGUCAAAACAUCAGUCGUAACAUUCGUACAACGAAGCACAAUGGGCUGCAGCCUCUUUACGUUCAACAGUCCCGACAUGCCCGUAACAAAUCGGAGCGAGAGCCACUGUCGAAGAACGUCAUCAACACGUAUUUGUCGAGGCGUCAGCAUUUCCGAUUGGCACGAGGACCUGCCGACGAUUACGAGUCGUGGUUUUACAUUUGUGCACGGUUUAUCACGCUGGAAACCUUCGAAUGGCACGAUGAGGAGGAUCACAUAGUGGCGGCAACAAUGAAGUACAACUAUCUGGCCACGUGCACGUUUCCGGACCCAGAUACUAAUGAGAGGAUGGCAAAGAUUCUACAGUACUGUCUGUCUGCGACGAAUACGAACGCCAAUGUAGUCGCGUUUUAUCUCGAACGCGUCAUUCAGAACUGGAAAGAAAACAUUCCGCCAAAGGAGUUCUAUUCGUGGCAGGACACGGACUCCGUUAAUACUAAGCACGAGGCCUGGAUGGAAAGAAACAAGACAUGGUACGCACCGAGAAAGCCCAGAUGUGCCGAGUAUUGAGG